rnacentral:lncRNA from 10 species
GUCUGAGCAAGGUGUAGGUACUAGUGCUAGUCCAUUCCUACAAGGCAUGGGACUUUUCUAGUGGGUGACUUUAGCUCCAGGCAUCUCCCUGGACCUUGUCAAAACCCUGCUGUCUGAGACUCUUCCUCCCCAAUCCUCCUUCGCCCUCACCUUUCACAGGUAUCAGAUCAGCAACUCAGUCUGAAGUUGAGUUCAUUCUGAAGCCUUCCCUGCCUAUUCCUACUUCCUCCUCUUAAUCCUUCAUGUGCAUCUCUCUCCUAAAAUCCUCUUGCACCUUGAAUUCCAUCUUGGCAUCUGCUUCUUGGAGGAUCUGAACCCACACUCUCUGAAGAAAAGGUUAAAGUAUAUGAACCUGCAAAGGAAACAGAAAAGCAGCAACAGGAAAGAAAGAAGACAAAAGUGGGUAAAAAUCUCAGGAGGAAAUCAAGAGAAUAUGUCAAGAUGGAGGGAGUAGACAAUGGUAUCAUAUACUGUGGUCAAGCAGGCAAAUACAAUUGAUUUCUUCACCAACAUGUGACAAUAUGAGGAAAGGGACUUUGUCUUAAAUGUCAUUGCCUGCCUCUUUCUUCACCAUUGACACCUAGCAUAAUGCCUUACAUGGAGAACAUUUUUUGAAUGCAUUUAUUGAAGGAAUGAUUAAACACAUCUUGCUAAACUAAAUAAAAGGAAAGACCCACAUAGCAUGUAAUAUGAAUAUAAUGAAACCAAAGAUAGCUUAAUAUUUUUAGGGAGGAAAAUAUAUGUAUAUAAAUACAAAACAGGAUUACAUUGAAUAGAAGCAUAGUAGAAACAAAAAGCCCAGUGGAAAGAAAUAUAUACAGCUCAAAAUGGACUGGCCAUGAAUCAAAGCAUCAUGUUGUCACCAUAAAAGAAAAUUAGUAGUUAAAAUGAAUGGACUGUUUACUCACACUGAUUAUACUUCUUGGACUCAGUGUACAGUUAUGACCUACUUAGCUAAGGAAGACCUGAAAAUGCUUUUUUAAACCACAUGAAGAGAUCUCUUCUGUGUGCCAAAUUUUCCGACUGCAGAGGAAGAAUUAACAAUGGCCAAGGCCAAGGGGAACAGGCAGAAAGAAGAGUGUGGCCUCAAAUGAUUUACAAGCAUUAAUCAGGAAACAUAUGGCUGUCUUGCCAAACUUGCUGGACAUUUACAAGGUUCAUAGCAUAGCUCACAGC